GAUCUUGCGAGUGACAUCGUGUUCACAAGGAAGCAUUACCUCCUCUGCUGGAAUGACUAUUGAACAUGCUGGAAGUUGGGGCUGGACAUGUUGAAGGGCUGUUUAACGAUAUGACAGAAAUAGUAAGGGACAUUUGCAUUCUAGAGAGCAUUGGAUUGGACAAAAAGGACAACCAUCACUGCAACACUCCACCAAUCUGGGGAUUAUGGCAGAGUGGCCAGACGGAAGCCUCUCCUCAGUGCAAGACACAUGAAAGCCCGCUUGGAAUUUGAAAAAAGCACCUAAAGGACUCUCAGAUUGUGAGAAACAAUAUUCUCUGGACUGCUGAAAUGAAGAUCAAACUCUUUGACCACAAUUCCAAGUGUCAUGUCUGGAGGAAACCAGCCACCGUUCAUCACCUGCACAAUACCAUCCCAACGGUGAAGCAUGGUGGUGGUAGCAUCAUGCUGUGGGGGUGCUUUUUAGCAGCAGGGACUGGGGGACUGGUCAGUGAAGGAAAGCUGAAUGCAGCAAAAUACAGAGAUAUCCUUAAUGAAAACCUGGCCCAGAGCUCUCAAGGCCUCAGACUGGGCCGAAGCUUCAACUUCCAAAAGGAAAAUGACCCUAAGUACACAGCCAAGACAAUGCAAUGGUGGCUUAGGGACAACCUUGUGAAUGUCCUUGAGUGGCCCAGCCAGAGCCCAGACUUGAACCCAAACGAACAUCUCUGGAGAGACCUGAAAAUGGCUGUCCACUGAUGGUCCCCAUCCAACCUGACAGAGCUUGAGAGGAUCUGCAGUGAAGAAUGGUAGAAAAUCCCCAAAUCCAGGUGUACAAAGCUUGUCACAUCAUACCCAUAAAGACUUGAGGCUGUAAUUGCUUCCAAAGGUGCUUCAACUAAGUACAGAGUUAAUGGUCUGAAUACUUAUGUCAAUGUGAUAUUUCAGUUUUUUAUUUUUCAGAAAUUUGCAAAUAUAUCAAAAAUCUAGUUUUUGUUUUGUCAUUAUGGGGUAUGGAGUUUUUAUGGAGAAUUUAUAAAAAAAUUAUUUUAAAUAAAUAAUAUAAUUUUUUUAGCAUUUUAGCAUAAGGCUGCAAUAUAACAAAAUGUGAAAACAAAUGAAGGUCUGAAUACUUUAUGAAUGCACUGUAUAAAUCAAAUAU